UAGUUAACAAUGAAUCUCCCUUGAUCAACACCGUUCUAUUUCCCAUUCUAAACACUAUUUAUUUUGAAGGCCAAUGAACCUCCAUAGAAGUUCGCUUUAAAGGUAACCUCUGGCAGUUUCAGUUUAACUCCUUGGCAGAGGCUUUGCCCUUUUAUCGUCAUCCCGUCUCCUAAACUUUGUUACCUCUGUGGUCGGUAAGUCAAGUUCCUCCACCAAUCCCCGGUGUAUAAAAUUGUGGGACGCUCCGCUGUUAACCAAUCCCCGGUGAUGGCUAAACACCUCUGCUCACAACUCCGGUGAAAACCCGUCACGAAGGCAUCCAUCAGCAUGCUUUCAGCCAUCUCAGGUAAGGGAGUACAAUAAUUCAAGAACUUCUUCAAAUACUAUGCGUAUUUGCCGUCUUGCUCAAUCCUGAUCAAUCGAGCUCCAUUGCUCUUUUCUCCCGUGGGUUGGAAAUGAUCAAACGUCCUCUAUUUCAGUUCCUCCCAUAACGUACUUGCUUCUGACUCAUCUAGUUUUCCCUUCAUUUUUAGCACUGAGGCGUCGGACGUUCCUGAUUCCUGAUUCUUCCUUCAUCCUACUUGCGGUAUUCCCCUUCACAUCAAUCACCAAUUGUUCCAUACACUUUUACAUUCUCAGCAAAAUUUCCUUCGAGUCCCCAAUUUCCCGCUCAUUGGACUCCAUUCUCUCUUCUAGUUGCUUUUGAGCCGUAGAAUGUGUUUUGCCCAGAAUUUUGAUAUCAAAAUCAAAUGUUCAACAGCCAACCAUUAACACUAAUACAAGAAAUAAGAGCAACAAGAAUUCAAUAAAGACAACCCAACUCCUUCCAGAAGGUUGGAAACUUCUCCCAAAGCCAACCGGAGCUUUUUACCAAAAUCAAUACCUACAUAAUCCAAUCCCCAAAAACAUUCCCUAUUUUUACUCCCUUCACAGGGCUCGCUAUUCCUCCUUCAAUAGAGUUAACACUCUGAAGAAACAUGAAAUAAUAGAACAAAAAUCACAAGUAAAAGUCUACAGUUCUUGAGAUUGAACUCAUAAUCACUAAUUGUCUAAAAAGUAGUUAAGUGCUCAAGAGAUGGAGAAAGAAGAUUGAAGGAGAUGGUGGAUGGAGAAAUCAAAGAAGAAGACGUGUUCUUAUUAGAGAGAGAACUGGGGAAGUGUGCAUUUUUAUUCAAUCACUUCUCACUUAAUCUAUAAGAUACAUAAGCCUACCUAGUUCAUAUCACUUAAACCAUAGAAACUAACUAUUUGACAUGAAAUGGCUCAUUGUUUUAAAAAAUGGAUCCAUUAAACUAUCAACUAACAGUCUCAUAAAAACAAGCCUUUUAAAUUCUUCAUACUUGGUGAUAGCAAGGACUUAAUUGAAAGGAAUUUACACAUAAAGAAUAUGAUUGAGAAUUUUUAUAAAAUUAGGGACAAAAUCUAAAAAAAUGGAACAGAUAGCAGAGAAAUGCAUGUAAGUCUGUACCUCCAUUAAUGUAGUCAAGUUCUCCAGUCUUGAGAGCACCGUUCAAGAUUGGGUAAGCAGUUACACUAAUAAAUAAAAUAUAAAGGUUAAAACUAUUUUGAAAGUAAAACUUGCUCGGGAUACUUCAAAAUAGUUCCUAUGCACUUUAUGGAACAGGAAGCAAAACUUUCAUGGAAAAGUGAAGUUAAAGGUAAUAUAAAAUAAAGUACACACAGGAUAUAACCCAGUCCAAUUUGAUUUAAUUAUAAAUGGGUCAUGUUCUUAAACUCAUUGACGAUAGACACAGUAGAUCUGUAUUAAACUCAUUGGUAAAGUUUACUGCAUUCCAUUUUCAUGUAAUUUAGGUCCUUUGAUGAAUUAUGAAUCCGUCUCUAAAGUUGCAGGAACAAAAUUAAUAAAAAAAUGUCAAAUGAACUCUUACUCUCUAAGGUUCUUUACGUUCUUAAGUUGGACUCUAAAUUCAAUGUCAAUUAAGCAAACCUCCCACCAAAUGUUUAAAUUUCAAUUGAACUUAUGAGAACUGUCAAAUGAUCUAUAAUAUUCUAUAUAUAUGUAUUAUGUAUUAUAUACACUUUUUGAGAUUAACUCUUCUAACAGACAUUGGGCUCUUCAAGUCAUCAAUGACUACAUAAAUCCAACUAAAUUUUGUGAACGAAGUGAUUGAAACGUACCCAGUUGUUGGUGAAACAAUGACAUCUGCAUGUGCUAAUAUUUUCCGAUGAAAAUACAUCUGGCGAUUCCUGCAUAUAAUUAAAACUUUUCAAUACCAAACGAUAGAAAGUUUUGGCAUUGCACAUCACCAAGUGAGGAAAAUAUAAAGGCAUUCUAAUUGAGAUAUACAUCCUGAAUAGAAUAAUGGAAAAGGCUUUGGAGAGAGAAGACCAUGUAGAAGCUUUUAGACGAGCCAAACGAAAAUGAUCAUUCCAAGGAAGUGACUUGUUAGGAAUAUUGACCAAAAUUCGGAUAAGAUAGGUUUCACCGUCUUAGAUCACAAAACCAUAGACUUUAGCGCCAUAGCAGGACCAACCACCAAAUGAAGAAUAUUGUCCUUAAAUAAAUCCAAGAUCUGAAUAUAGGAAGGAAUAUUGAGAGUACUGAAGAACAGGACCUUUCAUAAUCUCAAUGAUAAAUAUCUUAUUCUGUAACAGCAGACUACGGCACUCUAAAUUGUAUAUAUCACUCACAUCUACAUUUCAUAAUCUCAAAGUAUAUACUUUCAGUAGUCUUGAUUUUCAGUCAAUGGGACACAUUUCUUACCUAAUCUUCUGAGCUUUUAUGUACUCCUUGCUACUGAAAGAACCAUAAACCGCCAGUGCUACUCUUGCAUCCCAUCCUAGUUGUGAGGAAUCCCUGUUUCAAUUGCUUGAGUUGACUCAGUAUAUAUGCAACAUAAAUUGAUAACUGAUAUGUAAGUAUGGUGGUUGAAGUUAACAUACAACUUUUCAAGAUAAGAACUCAAUGAAGUGCUGCACUCGGAUGCAAUCGUUGAAUAAUGUGCUAAACGCAUUACUUCUAUCUCUGGAAUAGUCACCUCCACACUCUUUAAAGAAAACAAGAAGAUUAGCAGGAAACUUUCUGAUGCGAUAUGAAUUGUUCUAUCAGUCACCUCCAUAUGAAUAGUUUGUGUUUAUUUUUCAACAUCUUUAUUUUAAAUUACAGGAUAGGUCAAGAGACAUCAAAGGGAUGAAUAAACAAUAAAUUAUUCUUGUAUGUUAGGUUUCAAGAACAUAAAUGCAGUACCUUCCAACCGUUAUGUUUUUGAAGUUUGUCCAUGGCAUUGGAACAGCAAACUCUGAUAUCAUCACUGCAGUCGUUAAACCACUAAUUAUCUCAAUUAGUGGUGUAAAAAUCAAUGAGAUGAUUUGAAACAUUAUUAUAUUGGUUAUGAACAUAAAACAAGUUCAUUUUAAAUUUCUAACCUCGCUAUACUUUGCCAAUGUAACCGAAGAUAUUGGUCUUGAAGAAUUGAGCACAGGAAAACAAAGUUUGGGCUGAACGCUCGUAAGGUGAAAAUAAAAGUUCAGAAUAUAUAUAGAGCAUACUAAGCCUUAAGUAAUAUGUCCUCAAUCAUCAAUUGAUAGAUAUGUAACUUGGAAUCUUUAUAGUAGAAGUAUAUCCUCAAUCAACUUAAAGUAAAAAGGGUAAAACAUGCUCCCAGAUAAGAGCUCUCGAUAGUCAAUACAAAUAUUUUGACAUAAAUUCAGUAUAGAACCUGUUAAAGUUUGCCUUUAACAUGCAACGAUGAUUUCAAACAAGCACUUACCAAUGCAGUAUUCUGAUGCGAAGGAAGUUUGCUGCUUAUAGCUGCAUAACUGAAAAGCAUAUUAAGGUCAAUAAAAUCUCCAUCAAACCUCCCUCAAGUUGCAAUAAGAAAACAGAGAAAAAAAAAAGAACACUAACACAAUAAAUGCAUCCUCAAUUGUGCCUGCCAGUAUCCCAACCAUUCCAACGGUCCAAUUCAGAGGAAGAACACUGAAAACACAGAAUGACACUAACCAAAUUAUACUGAAUUGUCAAAGGCACAAAUGUAGAGAGGUUAUUUUUCAGUAGACAUAAGUUGUCACCCAGAAUGAGGUACACGGCCAAACGUUGGCUUCAAACCGACAACUCCACAUAGAGAUGCAGGGAUUCUCACAGAUCCUUUAUAAAAUUACCAAUGAACAGAGUUUAGUUGCUACAUAUAUAAACUAAUGCACAAUUUCUUGAAAACAGCCAACUUUACUGAAUAUCUUCAUGUUCAUAAACUCUAUAUGAGCUAGUUGAUUUUUUGUUAAUGAUGUCAUCUUCAAUAGAAUAUAAUUAAUUUGACCAAAUUUCAGAUUUCCUCUUUAUUGUCCUGUUUUUUAACUUCGUAUUCGUACUUUUAAAAUUCUAAUAAUUUGAUCCCUUAAAUUUAUCAUUCAUCUAAAUUAAAAUUACCUCCUCCAUCAACACCUAGAGCAGCAGGACAUAGUCCUGCAGCAACAACUGCAGCAGAUCCGCUAGAGGAACCUCCACAUAUCCUGCUUGAAUUAUACGGAUUUCUUGUCGUUCUGCACAAGUCAUUCAAAAAGAUUAGCAUCUCAUGUGACAAAUUGGAGUUUGGUGAGGAAAGAUGUAAGGAGAGCCAUGUCAAGCUGUAAUGUAUAGAUGCUAUAUUUUAGAUACAAAACAAGGGCAGUACUAUAGUAUAGUAUUCCACCCGGUUCAUAGGAUACAAUAAACAGUGUAUUUUAUGAUUUUUUAUAACGUCUUUUGGUUUCAAAUUAUUAUGUAUUGAUAUGCCCAGGUCUCAUGGUAUUCAUAUUUAUACUGAUGUCCAUACUCAUCUACCUUGAACCAAU
rnacentral:lncRNA from 1 species